rnacentral:lncRNA from 1 species
ACGUCAACAAUUAAUAAAUCUAUUUUAGUCAUCUGGAUGAACGUAAUAUUAAUAUUUGUUAAAUAUAUAUGAUUAAUUUUAAAACUCAGGCCAAUUUACUUUUACAACGUUCCGAGAGGUGCAAGCACGGAAGGUGCCUGACUUGGAAUCUGUACCGAGAACUGUUUUACAUUUUUGGCAGGCAGCUGAAUGUUGAUGCUUCCACGGGGAAUAGUGGGCAGGUGGCGGGUUCAGUUGCCAUUGUCAUGGUUAUAUGGUUCUAACACAGCUAUUGAUUGCUUUGAGUUUCCAGAGAACGUAGAAUAUGCUGAAGCGGUAGCUUGUCGUUUUGGAUUGCAAUUGGCCACGGAUGCUGGUAUUAGAUUAUUGAGUUAGAUGGGGGUAAAAGUCGAUUUAUUUCUUUUUUUUUUUUAAGCUAACAACUCCUUUAAUUUUUAUA